GACGAACGCUGGCGGCGUGCUUAACACAUGCAAGUCGAACGAAGUGGCGAACGGGUGAGUAACGCGUAAUCAACCUGCCCUUCAGAGGGGGACAACAGUUGGAAACGACUGCUAAUACCGAAUACUGAAGGAGGGGAUUGCGUCGGAUACGCUAGUUGGAGGGGUAACGGCCCACCAAGGCGAUGAUAAGUAGCCGGUCUGAGAGGAGGACCAGGCGAACUGGAACUGGGGAACGGUCCAGGCUCCUACGGGGUGCAGCGGUGGGGAAUCUUCCGCAAUGAACGAAAGUCUGACGUAGCAACGCAGCGUGAGUGAGGACGGCCUUCGGGUUGUGAAGCUCUGUUAAUCGGGACGCGGUACCGGAAUAGAAAGCCACGGCUAACUACGUGCCAGCCGCCGCGGUAAUAC
rnacentral:rRNA from 1 species